rnacentral:tRNA from 1 species
GUUUAUAUAGUUUAAAAAAAAACAUUACACUUUCAUUGUAAAAUUAGAUCCAACCUUAUAAAUA